rnacentral:misc_RNA from 1 species
GAUGAAGAACGUAGCGAAAUGCGAUAAGUAAUGCGAAUUGCAGAAUUCCAGUGAGUCAUCGAAUCUUUGAACGCACAUUGCGCCCUUUGGUAUUCCGAAGGGCAUGCCUGUUCGAGCGUCAUUAUCACCCCUUAAGCCCUCGGCUUGGUGUUGGACGGUUUGGUGGAGGCCCCCUCGGGGGUUCCUGCCCCUCCCAAAGACAAUGACGGCGGCCUCGUUGGACCCCCGGUACACUGAGUUCUUCACGGGACACGUAUCGGACACAUGGGUUUACGGGACACGGUCUGCCUCCCCUCAGGGAGAAUCUUUCUAAGGUUGACCUCGGAUCAGGUAGGGAUACCCGCUGAACUUAAGCAUAUCAAUAAGCGGAGGA